rnacentral:rRNA from 1 species
UACGUAGGGUGCGAGCGUUAAUCGGAAUUACUGGGCGUAAAGCGUGCGCAGGCGGUGAUGUAAGACAGUUGUGAAAUCCCCGGGCUCAACCUGGGAACUGCAUCUGUGACUGCAUCGCUGGAGUGCGGCAGAGGGGGAUGGAAUUCCGCGUGUAGCAGUGAAAUGCGUAGAUAUCUGGAGGAAGUACCGGUGGCGGAAGGCGGCGAUCCUAGG